rnacentral:rRNA from 1 species
CCUACGGGAGGCAGCAGUGAGGAAUAUUGGUCAAUGGACGAGAGUCUGAACCAGCCAAGUAGCGUGAAGGAUGACUGCCCUAUGGGUUGUAAACUUCUUUUAUAUGGGAAUAAAAUGUUCCACGUGUGGGCUUUUGUAUGUACCAUAUGAAUACGGAUCGGCUAACUCCGUUCCAGCAGCCGCGGUAAUACGGAGGAUCCGAGCGUUAUCCGGAUUUAUUGGGUUUAAAGGGAGCGUAGGUGGAUUGUUAAGUCAGUUGUGAAAGUUUGCGGCUCAACCGUAAAAUUGCAGUUGAAACUGGCAGUCUUGAGUACAGUAGAGGUGGGCGGAAUGCGUGGUGUAGCGGUGAAAUGCUUAGAUAUCACGAAGAACUCCGAUUGCGAAGGCAGCUCACUGGACUGCAACUGACACUGAGGCUCGAAAGUGUGGGUAUCAAACAGGAUUAGAUACCCGUGUAGUC